GUGCUUGCUUCGGCAGCACAUAUACUAAAAUUGGAAUGAUACAGAGAAGAUUAGCAUGGCCCCUGCACAAGGAUGACACACAAAUUUGUGAAGCGUUCCAUAUUUAA
rnacentral:snRNA from 1 species